rnacentral:lncRNA from 10 species
GGCGAGGCUUCACCAUGUUGGCCAGGCUUGCCUCGAACUCCUGGCCUGAAGCUAUCCACCCACCUCGGCCUCCCAAAGUGCUGGGAUUACAGGCGUGAGCCACUGUGCCUGGCCUGCCCAUUCUUUAAAAUUGAGGAAUAAUAUACAUAAAGUACCUAACGGGCACAAAUUUUAAAGGUAUUGCUAAAUAAUUUUUAAUGUUUAUACAGGAAUGUGAUCACCACCUGGAUCAAGAUAUGGCAACUUCCAGCACCCCGGCAGACCUCCCUCAUGCCCUUCAGGGUCUCUGCCUGCCUCUAGAGGUGACCACAAUUCUGACUUCCAGUUCAGAGGAGAGGGCCCCCAGAAAUGGCAGUGCAUCAAAUGAUGGACAGGCGAUCAUAAAACUGUCCCUCUGACAUGAUAAGUGGCCACGAAUGGCGCCAAGAGGGAGAGGAGUUCCCUAACAGAUAGUUGACAUCAUCUGGAGCCAGCAAACCACAAUUCCCUGGUAAGGUCGAGCAGAAGGGCAAAUGUUGGAGUCUGACUUGUAUAUGACCUUUUUCUUGCGGCGACGGACCAGUAAGGGAAAAUCACCCCAAGUGAGCAUGCGCACAACCUUAGUAAACACACUGCGCAUGCGGCCCCUCCCAAGUGCUGGCAGGCCAUUGCGCAUGCAGGGAGGGCGCAGCAGCCCACCGAAGGGAGGAAUCAAGGAGGAGAAGAAACCCCAGAACCAAGCCAGUGUAUAAAAGCCCCGAGCCAAAGGUUGAGCGGGGCACUUGAUCUCUCAGUUGUACUUUGCUUCUUUCAAUAAACCUUUGCCUCUGCUUUAAAACUUGCCUGCGUCUCUCAAUUGAAUUCUUUCCUCUGAGAAGACAAGGGCUGGGAGUGUUGCGGACUCGCCACCGAUAAUAUUCUCACUACAAAAGUGUUACUGAAAAGAUUUUGAAAAACCCAGAAUUUGGAAUCCA